rnacentral:rRNA from 1 species
CACGUAGGGCGCAAGCGUUGUCCGGAAUUAUUGGGCGUAAAGAGCUCGUAGGCGGUCUGUUGCGUCCGCUGUGAAAACUCGGGGCUUAACCCCGAGCCUGCAGUGGAUACGGGCAGACUAGAGGUAGGUAGGGGAGAAUGGAAUUCCCGGUGUAGCGGUGAAAUGCGCAGAGAUCGGGAGGAACACCCGUAGCGAAGGCGGCGCUCUGGGCCGGUACUGACGCUGAGGAGCGAAAGCGUGGGGAGCAAACAGG